rnacentral:lncRNA from 1 species
AGUUAAUACAUACCAGCAACUGAAACAGCCUGUAUAUAAGAGCUGCUGACAUAGUGCAUGGUCUACCUUGUAUGCUAGUAUGACUGCUUCAGCUGCCUGGAUGCAGCUGGGAUAAGGACUGCAUUACUUCACAGGGUGUUGUGAAGAGGAGAGGAGAUAGAAAUACCUGAUAAGAGCCUGUCUCCUACCUGCCACUUGUGGAGUGCUCUCAGGUCAGUGGAGUAGUGAACAAUUCCCUGUGCUGUCUUUGCUCUGGGCAGCUUCAGAUACAGCUGAGGCAACUGAGGGCCCAGGAGCAAAUGCUUCUUUGGAAGGAGGAAGAGCCAGUGAUGUCUUGUGA